CCUACGGGUGGCAGCAGUGAGGAAUAUUGGUCAAUGGCCGUGAGCCUGAACCAGCCAAGUCGCGUGAGGGAUGACGGAUCUAUGGGUUGUAAACUUCUUUUGUCGGGGAAUAAAUUUAUCCACGUGUGGCUAUUUGCAUAUUCCCUAUGAAUAAACAUCGGCUAACUCCGUUCCCACCACCGGCGUAAUACGGUGGAUUCCAGCGUUAUCCGGAUUUUUUGGGUUUAAAGGGUGCGUAGGUUGUUCUUUAAGUCAGGCGUGAAAGUAUGUGGCCCAACCCUCAGAUUGCCGUUGAAACUGACAGACUUGAGUGUGUUUGAGGUAGGCGGAAUGCGUGGUGUAGCGGUGAAAUGCAUAGAUAUCACGCAGAACUCCGAUUGCGAAGGCAGCAUAC
rnacentral:rRNA from 1 species